UGGGAGCAGCUUAUUGAUGUCCUGAUACAGGUUUAUAAUGUUAGGGAGCAGCUUAUUGAUGUCCUGAUACAGGUUUAUAAUGUCUGGGAGCAGCUUAUUGAUGUCCUGAUACAGGUUUAUAAUGUUAGGGAGCAGCUUAUUGAUGUCCUGAUACAGGUUUAUAAUGUCUGGGAGCAGCUUAUUGAUGUCCUGAUGCAGGUUUAUAAUGUCUGGGAGCAGCUUAUUGAUGUCCUGAUGCAGGUUUAUAAUGUCUGGGAGCAGCUUAUUGAUGUCCUGAUGCAGGUUUAUAAUGUCUGGGAGCAGCUUAUUGAUGUCCUGAUGCAGGUUUAUAAUGUCUGGGAGCAGCUUAUUGAUGUCCUGAUGCAGGUUUAUAAUGUCUGGGAGCAGCUUAUUGAUGUCCUGAUGCAGGUUUAUAAUGUUAGGGAGCAGCUUAUUGAUGUCCUGAUACAGGUUUAUAAUGUUUGGGAGCAGCUUAUUGAUGUCCUGAUGCAGGUUUAUAAUGUUUGGGAGCAGCUUAUUGAUGUCCUGAUACAGGUUUAUAAUGUCUGGGAGCAGCUUAUUGAUGUCCUGAUACAGGUUUAUAAUGUCUGGGAGCAGCUUAUUGAUGUCCUGAUGCAGGUUUAUAAUGUCUGGGAGCAGCUUAUUGAUGUCCUGAUGCAGGUUUAUAAUGUCUGGGAGCAGCUUAUUGAUGUCCUGAUGCAGGUUUAUAAUGUCUGGGAGCAGCUUAUUGAUGUCCUGAUACAGGUUUAUAAUGUCUGGGAGCAGCUUAUUGAUGUCCUGAUGCAGGUUUAUAAUGUCUGGGAGCAGCUUAUUGAUGUCCUGAUGCAGGUUUAUAAUGUCUGGGAGCAGCUUAUUGAUGUCCUGAUGCAGGUUUAUAAUGUUAGGGAGCAGCUUAUUGAUGUCCUGAUGCAGGUUUAUAAUGUUAGGGAGCAGCUUAUUGAUGUCCUGAUGCAGGUUUAUAAUGUUUGGGAGCAGCU